UGCAGUCGAGCGGACCGACGGGAGCUUGCUCCCUUAGGUCAGCGGCGGACGGGUGAGUAACACGUGGGUAACCUGCCUGUAAGACUGGGAUAACUCCGGGAAACCGGGGCUAAUACCGGAUGCUUGAUUGAACCGCAUGGUUCAAUCAUAAAAGGUGGCUUUNAGCUACCACUUACAGAUGGACCCGCGGCGCAUUAGCUAGUUGGUGAGGUAACGGCUCACCAAGGCGACGAUGCGUAGCCGACCUGAGAGGGUGAUCGGCCACACUGGGACUGAGACACGGCCCAGACUCCUACGGGAGGCAGCAGUAGGGAAUCUUCCGCAAUGGACGAAAGUCUGACGGAGCAACGCCGCGUGAGUGAUGAAGGUUUUCGGAUCGUAAAACUCUGUUGUUAGGGAAGAACAAGUACCGUUCGAAUAGGGCGGUACCUUGACGGUACCUAACCAGAAAGCCACGGCUAACUACGUGCCAGCAGCCGCGGUAAUACGUAGGUGGCAAGCGUUGUCCGGAAUUAUUGGGCGUAAAGCGCGCGCAGGCGGUUUCUUAAGUCUGAUGUGAAAGCCCCCGGCUCAACCGGGGAGGGUCAUUGGAAACUGGGGAACUUGAGUGCAGAAGAGGAGAGUGGAAUUCCACGUGUAGCGGUGAAAUGCGUAGAGAUGUGGAGGAACACCAGUGGCGAAGGCGACUCU
rnacentral:rRNA from 1 species